GAUGAACGCUGGCGGCGUGCCUAAUACAUGCAAGUCGAGCGAACGGACGAGAAGUUUCCUUUUCUGAUGUUUUCGGCGGACGUGUGAGUCACAUAUGUAUAAUCCAUCUUUAAGGCUGGUAUCUCUUCGGGAAACUGGCUCUUACACCGUAUAAUUUUUUGUACCGUAUUGUUCAAAUGUGAAAUACGGUUUUACUGUUACUUAUAGAUGCUUCCGCGCUGCAUUAGCUAGUUGGUAUGGUAACGGCGUACGAAGGCAACGAUGCAUAGCCGACCUGAGAGGGUGAGCGGCAACACUGGAACUGAGACACGGUCAAGACUCCUAGGGGAGGCAGCAGUAGGGAAUCUUGCGCAAUGGGCGAAAGCCUGACGGAGCAACGCCGCGUGAGGGAUGAAGGUCUUCGGAUCGUAAAACUCUGUUAUAAGGGAAGAACAUAUGUGUAAGUAACUGUGCACAUCUUGACGGUACCUAAUCAGAAAGCCACGGCUAACUACGUG
rnacentral:rRNA from 1 species